rnacentral:sRNA from 1 species
UAGAGAUAAGGCGUUUCUAUGGGGUGGAGCAUGGUGGGGGAUAUGAUGCUUGGAGAAAAACUUCAGCUUUAGCUACCCCUUUUGAUUUUGACAAAGCACAAUCCACAAAGCCAAAAGGUCAUUGUGUGGCUGUGCGAGUGACAAAGCACAAUCCACAAAGCCAAAAGGUCAUUGUGUGGCUGUGCGAGUGACUAGUGAGGACCCCGAUGAUGGCUUUAAGCCUACGAGUGGCAAAGUGCAGGA